UUUCCGUAGGUGAACCUGCGGAAGGAUCAUUAAAGAGACGUUGCCCUUCGGGGUAUACCUCCCACCCAUUGUUUAUUAUACCUUUGUUGCUUUGGCAGACCCGGCUUCGGCCCACCGGCUCCGGCUGGUCAGUGUCUGCCAGAGGACCUAAAACUCUGUUUGUUAAUAUUGUCUGAGUACUAUAUAAUAGUUAAAACUUUCAACAACGGAUCUCUUGGUUCUG
rnacentral:misc_RNA from 1 species